GGGUUGUGAGGUUAAGCGACUAAGCGUACACGGUGGAUGCCCUGGCAGUCAGAGGCGAUGAAAGACGUGCUAAUCUGCGAAAAGCGUCGGUAAGGUGAUAUGAACCGUUAUAACCGGCGAUGUCCGAAUGGGGAAACCCAGUGCAAUUCGUUGCACUAUCGUUAACUGAAUACAUAGGUUAACGAGGCGAACCGGGGGAACUGAAACAUCUAAGUA
rnacentral:rRNA from 1 species